UGGGGAAUAUUGGACAAUGGGCGAAAGCCUGAUCCAGCCAUGCCGCGUGUGUGAAGAAGGUCUUCGGAUUGUAAAGCACUUUAAGUUGGGAGGAAGGGCAUUAACCUAAUACGUUAGUGUUUUGACGUUACCGACAGAAUAAGCACCGGCUAACUCUGUGCCAGCAGCCGCGGUAAUACAGAGGGUGCAAGCGUUAAUCGGAAUUACUGGGCGUAAAGCGCGCGUAUGUGGUUUGGUAAGUUGGAUGUGAAAUCCCCGGGCUCAACCUGGGAACUGCAUUCAAAACUGACUGACUAGAGUAUGGUAGAGGGUGGUGGAAUUUCCUGUGUAGCGGUGAAAUGCGUAGAUAUAGGAAGGAACACCAGUGGCGAAGGCGACCACCUGGACUAAUACUGACACUGAGGUGCGAAAGCGUGGGGAGCAAACA
rnacentral:rRNA from 1 species